AUUGAAUGCUGGCGGCAUGCUUUACACAUGCAAGUCGAACGGCAGCGCGGGCUUCGGCCUGGCGGCGAGUGGCGAACGGGUGAGUAAUGCAUCGGAACGUGCCCAGUAGUGGGGGAUAGCCCGGCGAAAGCCGGAUUAAUACCGCAUACGACCUGAGGUUGAAAGCGGGGGACCGAAAGGCCUCGCGCUAUUGGAGCGGCCGAUGUCGGAUUAGCUAGUUGGUGGGGUAAAGGCUUACCAAGGCGACGAUCCGUAGCUGGUCUGAGAGGACGACCAGCCACACUGGGACUGAGACACGGCCCAGACUCCUACGGGAGGCAGCAGUGGGGAAUUUUGGACAAAGGGGGCAACCCUGAUCCAGCCAUGCCGCGUGCGGGAAGAAGGCCUUCGGGUUGUAAACCGCUUUUGUUCGGGAAGAAAUCCUCUGGGCUAAUACCCCGGGGGGAUGACGGUACCGGAAGAAUAAGCACCGGCUAACUACGUG
rnacentral:rRNA from 1 species